UUGAUUCAGGCUGUUUUUUCUCUUGCAAUCACAAUUCAACACAUGUCUAUACUCACUAGUCAGUCCAGAUUCAAUAUGAAAAAAUCAUCUGUUUUCUUUUGUGCUUCAGGUGGAAUUUUAGCGCCAGUCUUUCUGUCCCGUCUAAUGAUUUGAGCGUCCGACCUGUCCACUUCCUUCUUCCCACUUGCGUGGAGAAAAAAAAACAUUUUCAAAACAUAUUCAUCUGAAUAACAAAAAACGCUAACUAGUUGGCCUGGAGAAAAAACACCUUCCUAAAAUUGACAAGAUUCCAAAACAUGAAUACAGGGUGUUGUUAUAAAAAAUCAGGAAUACAAAGCCUUAGUGGUUCAAAAUGUUAUAACCCAAACUUUUGUUUUCUGAAAGGAAGAAAUUGUAGACCAACUGAAUGUAGGCACCACUAUGUUUAUUUUAGAAGGUAUGGUUUUGCUACUCAUAUGGUUCGGCAUUAAAAAGAACAAACUUCAGGAAAUGGGUGUGCUCUCUCUAAAUUUUCUUUACUGAUCAACACACAUACCCAAACUAGACUAAUGAUGGAUCAAAGACCGACCUAAUGAAACUAAAAUAGAGGGAAAUUAAAACAAAAAAACAAACUGCAGCUAACUACAACAUGACUGAACAUAGGCAGAAAAAAUACAACACUGAAAAUUGACACUAAAAUUAAAGCUACAACGAUAGAAAAAAUACAUGAAUAUCGGUGACUGACGAGUGAGACUGACCAUAACCAAAUACUAAAUUAUCUGAUAAACUGAUACUAAAAACAAAAGCAAUAAUGAUAGAAAAUAUGAACUGAUAACUGAAAAAAGACAAGUUAGACCGAUGACUAAAUACUAAAGUAUCUGAUAAACUGAACACCAAAAUCUGAAGACCCGCCUCCUAAUAAAAACAAACUGAAGCUAACUACAACAUGACUGAAGAUAGGCAGAUAAAAAUACAAGACUGAAAACUGACACUCCAACUAAACCUACAAUGAUAGAAAAAAUUACAUGAAGACUGAAUGCCCGACGAGUGAGACUGAGCAGAACUGAAUACAAAAUUAUCUCAUAAACUGAUACUAAAAGCUAAAGAAACAAUGACAGAAAAUAUAAACUGAAAAUGAAAAAUGAAAAGUUACACUGAUGACUGAAUACUAAAGUAUCUGAUAAACAUGACUAAAUACAAAUUUUUAGCAUGUUAACAUUGAUCCCUCAAAGAAUCAACACUAAAAAAAAUGAACAAGCACAGUGACUGAUCAAAUAUGAAUACGAUAACAAUGAACUGACAUAAUGACCAAGGGACUGAAAGUCUAAUAAAGAAUAACACUGAUGUAGUGAUGAGUAAAUGUACACAUCCACACACUUUUGUUGUCGAUGCUGCUGCUAGUUCAUCAAAGCACCUCACAUUUUUGCUCCAAGAUGCCAGCAACUAAGCAUCGGUCUGUACACGUCCAGAAACUCGAGACUAGGCAUGUUAUCGCAUCCGAAUGGCCUGCAAUUAACACCCGGGGCCAAAGCACGCUCGACUGAGCACAAAUUUCACAAGGCACUCCUAGGUGACCACCAGGAACACCAACUGAGUACUUCCUGAGCAACUCAGGAAUCAGAACACGAAUCCUGACUCACAAAUGUAGAAUUAGCACAUUCGUCAUUCUUGUGUUAUGGCUUGAAAUUGCUUGGCCAGCCGCAGACAAACACCAAAUCUUGACCCCUGCAUAGUGAAUCUAACUCUCACACACCUUACAAAAAUUGCACUAGAUCCCCUUCAGAAAUAUGGAUCAUCAGUACACACAAAUUACUGAUAAACUAGUACACCCCACAAAACACAUAUAAUGUGAAAAGGGGGAAACAUAGCUGAACGCACAACCCUAGAAAUCCGUGGGCGAAAAAUCGAACUCCACGGAUCAGAUAAUCUAAGAAUCGAGAUGAUGCAGAUAUAUCUCAUGAAAUUAGUGCAAGCACGAUUAAUCCCACACAAGCAAAAAAGGAUCUGAGUUAGCGGCCACUAGCAAAUGCACGGAAAUGAGCACUAAUUACUAACUGAGAAAUUACUCGGAUGAGAGGUGGGGGUGGGAAAACACACUCGAUACAUCCCACCAGACCGGCACCGACGACUGAUUCCGACCUCACCGGCGAACACCUGCUGGUGGCGGGACUAAAGGAAAAACUCUGUCGGCCUCCUCUCUGUACCACUCUCUCCUUCCUCCUGAUAAUCUAAGAGGAGAAGAGGGAAGGGGCAGACCUGGGUAGGGGUCAGAGUAGCAAAGCUCUAUGAGUGGAGUCCGUGGCGUCUCCUCACACAUAGCCGAGUAGUAUCAAUGGAAGGAAGUAAUCCUCCUAUCCCCGGGCUGGCCCUUGAUUGUGGGGAAGGAGAUGAUAUCCAUGGCGGCAAAGCCCGCAACCUUGGCGAGGAGGCGGAGGUGGCUGCGGUAGUGGUGGAUCUGGUCGCUGCCAUGGCUGGUCAACUCUCCCAUCCAUCUCCAAAGGAGGGAAGCAGGAGGGGGUAGGAGGGCGGCUGUUGUGGGGGAUUUUGACGGUGAGGUGUGACGACGGCAUUGGGUUGCGAAUUUGGUCGACGGCUGCUCACCCAUCGGAGGGAGCGUCGGAGUGAAUCUGAAGGAGAGGAGGCGGCGGAUGCACGUGGAUAGGGUUUUCGGU
rnacentral:lncRNA from 1 species